rnacentral:lncRNA from 1 species
UCGUAGAAGCAAAGACAGAAGAGAUUCUGAAAAGGACAGAAAGGAAAGGAGGAGGGAAGACCGAGACGAGCGUGACAAGGAGAGAAGCAAAGAAAAACCUAGAGAUAGGGACAAGGAUAGGAAGGAAAAGGAACCAGAGAGAGAUAGGGAAAUUGAGAAGGAGAGGGGAAAGGAUAAAAGUAGAGACAGGGAAACUGAGAAGGAGAGGGGAAAGGAUAAGAGUAGAGACAGGGAAAAGGAAAGAGACAAGACCAGAGACAAGGAAAGGGAGAGAGGGAGAGAGAAACAUAAGGAUAGAGAGAAAGAAAGGGAAAGCGAGAAGGAUAGGGAAAGAGAUAAGGCAAGAGAGAAAAGUAGGGAGAAGGGGAGGGAGAUGGAAUUAGAUAAAGAGAGGUCAAGAGAGAGAGAUCGAG